UACGGAAGGGGCAAGCGUUGUUCGGAAUCAUUGGGCGUAAAGGGCGCGUAGGUGGUUCUGUAUGUCUGCCGUGAAAGCGUACGGCUCAACCGUAUUUAGUCGGUAGAAACUGCAGGACUUGAGGCUGGGAGGGGCUGGUGGAAUUCCCUGUGUAGCGGUGAAAUGCGUAGAGAUGGGGGAGAACACUCGUGGCGAAGGCAGGUCUCUGGGCUGACACUGACGCUCAUGCACGAAAGCGUGGGGAGCAAACAGG
rnacentral:rRNA from 1 species